UUUGGUUUUAUUUCUGUUAAGAACUUCGUUAUUAGUUUGCCAUGUCUUUUUAAUAUCAUUUUUAUACUUAAGAAAUUGUGUUUCAUAAUAGGCCUUUUUCGCGGUUUUUAUUACGUGAUUCAGUUUGUUUUUGUAUUUUUUAUAGGCUGUUUCAUUUCUGUAAGAUGGCUUUUUUAGAAAUUUUUUAUAGACUUUAUUUUUCUUGGAUAUGGAUUUAAAUAUACCAAUUGUCAUCCAGGGACUUUUUGUGUGAUCCACAGUUUUCUUUUUUAUUUUUGCUAAAGGAAAACAUU
rnacentral:lncRNA from 1 species